UGCUUUCAGAGAAUAAGGCUAUGCCAUCAAGUGCUAUAUAAAUAUAUAUAUUUUUUGAGAUUGAUGUUAUAUAUAUAUGUAUAUAUAAAUAUAUACAUAUACAUAUAAUUUUGAUUGGAUUUGAGCAUGGUUUAUGCAAUUUUGUUUGUUACUAUACAUUGUUAUAAUUGUGUGCAAAGUGUUUGAUAAAUUGGUUCAUUCAAUGGUCAGUUAUUUUUAAGAGUGGUCAUAUAUAAUUUGGAGUGUUUGCAAAUUUGUGGAUUUGAGGACUGCAAUGAUGUUGCAAGCCACUUUAUUGAGUGGAUGUAUUCUGAGUUUUAUAAUAAGGUCCAAGACUCUAAUAUAUAGAUUAGUAGCUAUUGUGAUUAACAAGAAGUUCUCGAGUUUUUUAAGUUUUUCUCUUAUAUUAUAAGAAGCUCUCCAAUUUAGUUUUGUUUAAUGUCAACUAGGCUAACAUAGACAAUGUUAUAAGCUUCAAAUUUUGUAUGUUCUAUGUUUUUUAGGUACCAUAAUCACAGAGAAUAUAUUAGCCUAUUAUUUUGUUGAGUGCGAUUUAAAUUGAUUUCAUCAAAAUCAAAUGUCCUUUAUCCUGGUGAUGCAUGUGAGGCUUUAAAGGGUUUGUGAUUUCUACAUUUUCUUUUUCAUGGCUUCAAAAAUAUAUUUGCUUGCUUUGUUUCAUUUUUUUCCUCAAGUUUGCCUUCUAACCAAAGAUUUUUCAAGUGUUUUUUCAUCAUCUUUUCUCUUUAUUCUUAAUUAUGCUCAAUAUUUUAAUGUGUUAUAUUAUUAUUUAUAGGGUGAUACUUAUAAGUUAGUGAUGUGGUAUGUUAUCCCCUGUUAUAUUUUGAGCAACCUAUCAUACAAGUGAUGUGGUAUUGUGAUUUCUACAACUUGACAUGUGGUAUUGAUUGUUUGUCAUCAUCUUAUUUGGUUGUCUUAAGUUUGUGCAGUUGAUCAAUUGCGUACUAGAUUCUGUGUGGGCCACUUUAUACAAAGUAAAGGCUGCUCUUCUUGUUGAGCCUACAACUCUAUAAUUUAUAACUCAUCAAGAUAAGUGGAGUUUAGCAAAGUGGACUUUCUCCUUCAAGUUGGGACAUUUUGUAUGGCAGUUGGUGCUCUAGUUGCAUGUAUACACUAAUUGUUAUCUCUAUCUCCUUUAAUAGUUUUUUUUUCUUCACUAAUCUAAUGGUUACUGAUUGGCUUAUGGCUACUACACAUGACAAACAGCCACAUUACCAAAUCUCCUCCCUAAUUUAAGUUGAAAACUUUUGCUUUUAGAUUGAAUACGUGUUUUCUUUUUAGAAAUGUUGAAGGGAUUAACUUCAGAUUUACUAGUAUAUAUUCUAUGUUAACUCUUUUAUGA